UUACCAAAUAGGAUCCAUUUAAGGCACCGUUUGGGGUAACUAAAAAGUCAAGUUUUUUAUUUUUAGUUUAAAAAUGCUAAAAUGAGACCGAAAAAUAUUAAUCUCAAAUUAACUUUAGUAUACACUUAGAUCAAACCUACCAAAAAAAAUGAAUUUUUUUAGCCAAAACAAUCACAAAAAAAAACUUACCCCAAAAGGGGUCCUUAAAAAGUAUAUAUAUAAGGUACGAAUAAAAAAAGUAAACUAUUCAAUAAGCUUUAUUAUUUUUUUUCAAUGCUUUCAAUUUUAAAAUGCCAUAUUGUUUUUUUCUACGCAUCAAUUAUUGAUUAAAAAAAAAAAAAAAAAAAAAAAUUGAUUUUCGGGGAAUACUCGCGAGAAUCUAUAUAUCAUGAUCUCAAUUGAAUACAUAAAUAAAAAUUAACUUUUCUUGUGUGGUUAUGUAAAAAUUUUUAUAGUUGGUCAAUUGCUAUUACUCAUGAGAGUGUUCACAAUCUGGAAAUAUAGUGUAUUCAGAUGUGAAAUCUUUCAAAUUUGUGUGAAAAUUAAUUCACAAUGUAGAAUUGUAAAAGAAUCUCAGUGAUUAGGGUGAGUGAUAGCUAUUUUGCAAAUACUGUAAAUUUUCACAUUAUGUAUUAUAAAAAUUUACAAAAUUUCUCAUAUACUGUGAAAGUUCUUAAUGGCAAUAGUGGGGGUGGCCAGGAGAGGGGUGGAUUAGUGGUUAGUGAUGAUGGGGAUGGGUGUUUAGGUAGUGCUAGUUUCAAAUCAAGGGGGGAUUGACACGGUUAUGGUGGUAAUUGGGCGCAAUGGUGUAGUUUCGUGAAAAUGGGUUGUUGGUGUUUAGUAAGUAGUGGUUGAUAGUAGCAACAACUGAAAUGAUUAUUGACAGUGGUGACAAGGUGGUAGUUUGUGGUAAGUGGAUGGGGUGGCAGCAGUGGUAGUUGGUUUGUAUAAGUGGUCGGUAGUAGAUGACAACGGUAACUGUGGUGGUUGGCGACAAUUGUAGGGAUCUGUAUUGGCAGUUGAUGGAAGUGUGGUGGGGAUAUUGGCGGUGGUGGUUCGUGGUGGGGGCGACAUGGAGGUGUGGGGGUAAAGUAAUUGGCAUAGUACGCGACGAUGUGACACGAUGGUAGGUAAUGGUUGGUGGUAGUUGUAGGGAAAUUUGGUUGAUGGGGUUGGUAGGUGGUAUUGGUAGUGGACACCGCCAAGUAAAAUUGUAAUUGAAAAAUAUAUUUAAUUUAGGAUAUAAACAUUUACCUUUAUAUAUUAUUUUUUUUUAAAAAAAUUCUGUGAUUGACAUUAUUUUUUUUUUAUACUACUAGUAUGAUAUUAAUAUGUUACUUAUCAUUGAAUGAAAUUUUCUAUCAACAAUUGAAAGAAGUGAUGACGGGGAAUGGAGCUAUUUUCGUAUUAAAUUAUUCUAAGCCUUAGUUAAAAAUGUACAAGGAUAGACUUUUUUAAUAUUAGCUUUACACAAUAAGACCCGCUUAAAGUAACCAAUUCAAAUUUUUCAUAGGUAAAAACUCGUUUCCUUCGCAUAAAUACGGCAAUAGGCUCUAAAGUUCACCACUCGUGGUCAAUUUGGUCUCUUCCUUUCCAUUGUAACUCAUUUUCCCUAUAGAGGUCAAUAGAACCGGCCGGCCCCAAUUUGUAACAGAAUCGCUCACUGCCUUGAUGGGCUUGUAAAGUCAUAAUAACUCUUUUAAUUUUUUUAUCCUUUUUCGCUCUUUCGUCAUUCCUCUGCCAAAUAUUCAUGCAAACUGCCCAAACUACCCUCCGUCCCAAAAAAGACACUACUUCCUUCUACCAAUUGGCACUUGAAAUUGCCUCUUACCCUAUCAUUUAGGUUGUAAAAGGAUCUUUAAUUAUUCAUUUCGUUACCAACUUUGAAGCGAGUUGAAUAGUCAAGUGCGCUCGACUCUCAUGAUUUAAAUUAAGUUGGAAUAGUUUCUACUACAUAUUAUGGUGAUGUUUGAAUCAAGGAAAAGCCAUAUAUUGGUAUAAAUCAAAUUUUGAGUGGAUCAUAAGUAUCAUAGUUAUUUGAAAAAGACACCUAUACUUUUAAGAGUUGUUGCUAAGGACACCACGUUUGUAUAGUAAAUGUUGACCACUCAGUCCACAUGGCAAUUCGUGAAUGGACGGGUAUUUAUGAGGCAAAUAUGUUUUAAGUAGGGGUGCACAAAAUACUCGCCCGACCCGACCGCGUCAUUGGGUCGGUUUGGGUCGGUUCCACCAUGCUUUGGGUCGGUUCAUGGGUCUGAAAAUGAAGACCCGUAUGAUUCGGGUCGUUUCUCAGGGUCCGUGAGUUUUUUUUUUACCGAGAACCGACCCGAAACGACCCAACCCGAGACCCGAACCAAGACCCAAAUCGAGAAUCGAGAAUCAAACCGAGACCAACCGAGACCCGAAGUCUAGAACCGACCGUAUAGACAUACAAUGCACUCGCGUACACUUGAUUAUUACCUAUAUUAUAUUAAUUUAGAAGAGAGAAUCGAAAUCCAGA
rnacentral:lncRNA from 1 species